UGGUGAGUCGCGCGUGGCCCCGAGGCCUGCAGGCCCGGGCCUGUCUGAGGCGUACGGGGAUCCCUGACGCCCCUCUUUUGUUGAGCUGGGCGGGAGGGAUUGGUGGCCACUCAGUGACCGGCGCCCGCUGGCACCUUGGAGCGGCAAGGCCCGCCCGACCCUUUUCUCCCCCAGGGCUCUUUGCACGCGCGUGUGCUAGGCAGGGGGGCGGGAACCCGGGCGCACGCGCAGCGUCCCACCUGCUUCUGCAGGGCCUUUGUGGAUGUGUGAUGUCUUGGGUAAAAAGCAUGGUGCCAGGCAGGCAGCUUGACCCAGCGUUUCCUGAAAAUUUUUGGAAAAACCUGAAGAAGGAAAACAUUUGACCUUGGAAUAAACUAAGGUUGACCUUAAAGCUGGUCUGGUUGCUCACCGGAGGAGCGACAACGACCCCUAACAGACGUAAGGAAUCGGGAAUUAAACUUGGAAUAUUGGCAGGACAAGCGUUUAGAAAGUUUCUUCCACUCUUUGACCGAGUAUUGGUUGAAAG
rnacentral:sRNA from 1 species